rnacentral:misc_RNA from 1 species
GAUAAGAACGCAGCAAAAUGCGAUAAGUAAUGUGAAUUGCAGAAUUCAGUGAAUCAUCGAAUCUUUGAACGCACAUUGCGCCCGCCAGUAUUCUGGCGGGCAUGCCUGUUCGAGCGUCAUUUCAACCCUCAAGCACAGCUUGGUGUUGGGACUCGCGUUAAUUCGCGUUCCUCAAAUUGAUUGGCGGUCACGUCGAGCUUCCAUAGCGUAGUAGUAAAACCCUCGUUACUGGUAAUCGUCGCGGCCACGCCGUUAAACCCCAACUUCUGAAUGUUGACCUCGGAUCAGGUAGGAAUACCCGCUGAACUUAAGCAUAUCAAUAAGCGGAGGA